GAUGAACGCUGGCGGCGUGCCUAAUACAUGCAAGUCGAGCGAACGGACGAGAAGUUUGCUUCUCUGAUGUUAGCGGCGGACGGGUGAGUAACACGUGGAUAACCUCCCUAUAAGACUGGGAUAACUUCGGGAAACCGGAGCUAAUACCGGAUGAUAUUUUGAACCGCAUGGUUCAAAAGUGAAAGACGGUCUUGCUGUCACUUAUAGAUGGAUCCGCGCUGCAUUAGCUAGUUGGUAAGGUAACGGCUUACCAAGGCAACGAUGCAUAGCCGACCUGAGAGGGUGAUCGGCCACACGGGAGCUGGGACACGGUCCAGACUCCUACGGGAGGCAGCAGUAGGGAAUCUUCCGCAAUGGGCGAAAGCCUUACGGAGCAACGCCGCGUGAGUGAUGAAGGUCUUCGGAUCGUAAAGCUCUGUUAUUAGUGAAGAACAUAUGUGUAAGUAGCUGUGCACAUCUUGACGGUACCUAAUCAGAAAGCCACGGCUAACUACGUG
rnacentral:rRNA from 1 species